rnacentral:rRNA from 1 species
GACGAACCGUGCGAACGUUGUUCGGAUUCACUGGGCUUAAAGGGCGCGUAGGCGGGCAAUCAAGUCAGGGGUGAAAGCCUCCAGCUUAACUGGAGAAGUGCCUCUGAUACUGGUCGUCUUGAGGGAGGUAGGGGCAUGUGGAACUUCCGGUGGAGCGGUGAAAUGCGUAGAUAUCGGAAGGAACGCCGGUGGCGAAAGCGACGUGCUGGACCUCUUCUGACGCUGAGGCGCGAAAGCUAGGGGAGCAAACAGG